rnacentral:ncRNA from 15 species
UUCUUAUCAAGAGAGGUUGAGGGAAUGGCCCGAUGAAGCCUCAGCAACCUUCAAUGCUUUUACGCAUUGAAAAGGUGCUAAGUCCUGCAAGUUAUGGGAUCAUAACUUGAAAGAUAAGAA